UUGUAAGCUCAAAAGAGACGCAUGCUUACUAAUGCUUAUUACUUACUUUGGAGGUCGCUGGGUAAAUAGCUGUAGGCCUAUAAUCACUUCGCUUAAGUGCAAGAAGCAAACACUACCUCUAAACUUUUAUAUAUAUAUAUAUAUAUAUGAAAAAGCACUAAAGUAGUUAUAAUUGGUAGAUGAAAAUAUAACCAAAAACACACCCACAAAUUCUCGGGAGUUGUUAAUUACAUAACAUAGCAUAUCAAGGGGCGGAUGUUGCUUGGGACAGGGGAGCCGCGGCCACCAAAAAAAAAUAUAGGUUCGGACUUCAAUUUCGUUCAUCAUCAGAAUUGAUAUUUAGAGUUUGUUUGAAGUUUUGUUUGGAGUUUGAAUUUCAAUUUUAGAUUUCAAUUUUGUUCAUCAUCAAGAUGACAUGAUUUCAAUUUAGAUGUUAGUGCUGAUUUCAUGUGUUGAUUUAGCUAAUUUAUUGAAUUUCAUGUGCUGAUUUUGUUGAUUUUUGUAAUACAAGGUGUUCGAAUUUUGUUUCCAUUUAAUUUUCACUGAAAAAUAUUUUAUGUUUCCUAAA